AUCAAAGCUAAAAAUGGUUUCUGAUAGCUACUGGUAUUAAUGUUGUACUGCAGGGGCUGGUACUGUGUUCUGACAGAACGGGGCCACAGCUCAAGAGAGGCAUUCUCCAAAACGUUGCAGAUUUUCUUGCUGCUAUGAAUUACGGCCAUCCUGCUUAGAAUUAAAAAUGUCCUGAGCUCCUCAUUCAUUGACAGUGCUGUGCUGCAAGCCCAGAAGUGCCCCAGCCCAUCCUGUACUAAUUGUCAUCUGAUUCUCUACCUCAUCUGAUACAGUGUGCAAGAUCUGCUUGUAAAAAGAAGUGACUUUGUAAUUGCUUUCAAAGAAAUAAAUCCGCUGCUGAGCCCAUGGCAGCUGGCAAGGACUCAGACUGUGGAACAGCUCCAAAGCCGAGAAGUUCCCCCUUUGAAAACAGUGGCUGCACUCCCUACCGCGGCACUGCGCAGAUCUUGUAGGGCCGGGGGGCCAAGGUGAUGCCCAUGGUGAAUUUGAAGUCAAGGAUGGUGUCCGGGGGAGCCUGGAAGGUGAAUUUCUGGAGCAGAGACGUGAAGAAGAGGAAGAGCUCGGCGCGGGCCAGCAGCUCACCCAGGCAGGCGCGCUUCCCUGCAGAGACAGCCACCCAGCACCCAUUCAGCCCUGCUAGAAAAGCCUCGGCACCCACCUCCUGCAGGAACAUCACCCACCUUACAUUUCCAGCACCAACGUUGUCAUCCCAACUAAGCUGCCUUCCCUGAGGAGCUGUAGCACAGUCUGCCCCCAGCUGGGUGAUGUAGUGAGGUAAAUGUACGCCCAUACAUCUUAUCCUACCCUGCCGUGAUAAGCAGUGCUUUACGUG
rnacentral:lncRNA from 1 species